AAAUUGACUCUAGUAGGGAGUCCUUGUGUACGAGUGACUCCCUAACGGAGUCAGAUUGA
rnacentral:pre_miRNA from 1 species